UGAGGAAUAUUGGUCAAUGGACGCAAGUCUGAACCAGCCAUGCCGCGUGCAGGAUGACGGCCCUAUGGGUUGUAAACUGCUUUUGUACGGGAAUAAACCCCUCUACGUGUAGAGGGCUGAAGGUACCGUACGAAUAAGCACCGGCUAACUCCGUG
rnacentral:rRNA from 1 species